rnacentral:rRNA from 1 species
GUGCCAGCAGCCGCGGUAAUACGGAGGGUGCAAGCGUUAUCCGGAUUUACUGGGUUUAAAGGGUGCGUAGGUGGGUUGGUAAGUCAGUGGUGAAAUACUUUCGCUUAACGAAGGAACUGCCAUUGAUACUACCAGUCUUGAAUACAGUGGAGGUAGGCGGAAUGCGUCAUGUAGCGGUGAAAUGCUUAGAUAUGACGCAGAACACCAAUUGCGAAGGCAGCUUGCUACACUGUUAUUGACACUGAGGCACGAAAGCGUGGGGAUCAAACAGGAUUAGAAACCCUAGUAGUCC